rnacentral:rRNA from 1 species
CACCGCCCGUCACGUCAUGGAAGGUGGCAACACCUGAAGUCGCUGAGCCAACCCGCAAGGGAGGCAGGCGCCUAGGGUGGGGUUGCUGACUGGGACG